rnacentral:rRNA from 1 species
GUGGGGAAUCUUGCGCAAUGGGCGAAAGCCUGACGCAGCCAUGCCGCGUGAAUGAUGAAGGUCUUAGGAUUGUAAGAUUCUUUCACCGGGGACGAUAAUGACGGUAACCGGAGAAGAAGCUCCGGCUAACUUCGUGCCAGCAGCCGCGGUAAUACGAAGGGGGCUAGCGUUGCUCGGAAUUACUGGGCGUAAAGGGCGCGUAGGCGGACAGCUUAGUCAGAGGUGAAAGCCCAGGGCUCAACCUUGGAAUUGCCUUUGAUACUGGCUGUCUUGAGUUUGGGAGAGGUGAGUGGAACUCCGAGUGUAGAGGUGAAAUUCGUAGAUAUUCGGAAGAACACCAGUGGCGAAGGCGACUCACUGGCCCAAUACUGACGCUGAGGCGCGAAAGCGUGGGGAGCAAACAGGAUUAGAUACCCUGGUAGUCC